CUUUGCACUGGACUUUGAGCCUGCUUGUGUAGGAUAGGUGGGAGGCUUUGAAGCGUGGACGCCAGUUCGCGUGGAGCCAUCCUUGAAAUACCACCCUGGCAUGCUUGAGGUUCUAACUCUGGUCCGUAAUCCGGAUCGAGGACAGUGUAUGGUGGGCAGUUUGACUGGGGCGGUCUCCUCCUAAAGAGUAACGGAGGAGUACGAAGGUGCGCUCAGACCGGUCGGAAAUCGGUCG
rnacentral:rRNA from 1 species